ensembl:lncRNA
UGUGCAAGAUAAUUAUUUGCAUCCAGUGGUGAACCAAGUAACCAACCACAGUAGGAAGUAUAGAUUCGCCUAAUUGUGCUGCUGAUAUUCUCUAUAAACUCUCUAUCUAUAAACUAUUUACAUUAAUGUUUGUGCAUAAUGGCUACCUCUGUCUGAUGAAGACACUAGCAGAUAGUCAAUUUGCCAGCAGGUUUGUGUGCACUGGAAACAUUAAUUCAUGUAUCAUGUCUGUCACCAAAACAGAUCUCUGCAGAUCCUGAAGUCGAACUCCCAGUGACCCCAUGCAUCCUAAUCAGAGGUUUGUAGUUAAAUCUUUUUUUGUAUCCCAGCAAGCUGUUGUUAGCUGUUGUUAUAAGCUGUUGUUGUGUCAUAUUUAUUAAAGAAAUGUUUUGCUUGCCUUAAAAUAUAGGAUUUUUUUUUUUUUGUAAAUCGUACAUGGUUUUUAUCUGUGUUUAAGGUGACCAGCAAUUCAAGAUUGCUGUUGAUGGGUUACUUGUCAAUGACCACAUCACCUCUCCCAUUGUGGCCUUGAGCUACGUCUUCUCCAUGUUUUAUGUCUGCAACGUCCAAUACCCACCGGAGAUGGCUUUUACUCUCGAAUUCAUGCAAAGAGUUUUCUUUGGGGUCAAUCCUGAGCGAGGCUCCAAGGCAGAGAAGAAGGGGAAGAAACGGCACUUCAUUCCUCCACAGGUGUGCAAGCUGGUUUCUCAGCUGAAGGAAUUUGAAUGCAAGCAGAAGGAAUCUGAAUGGGCCAUUUGAGCUGUUCUCAGAGCUCAGAAAAUACCUUUUUGGACUGAAUGUACACACACACACACACACACAAAGGCAAAUCCAAAAACAUGGGGCUUGGGAGUAGAAAUACAGAUUUUUACAGUAUUAGGUGAGUUCAGAUGUUUUAACUAGAUGCCCACAACACACAUGCUGCAGUUUCAAAUCCCCCAUGUUAAGGGGGAGGGAAGGUGGGCGAUAUUUGUCAUUCCGGUUAAGCUUUUCCUGUCAUUGUGGAGUUGAAGGUGUAAGUUUUAAUUUUUUUUUAGUUUUAAGUUGUUUUAAGAGUUUUAAAAAUCUCUUUAUGGCAUGUUGCACAGUCAUCCUUCUAAAGUCAUGGUUGUUAUUGCUGCACUGAUGUUUUAUAGAAAAGUUGUAUAAUGUAAUACUUCUAAUGUUCUAUUUGUUUUUUGUAGAAAGGUCAGCCACUGGUUGCAGAGCUCUGCCUGUCGGUGUGAUAUGUGGAGUUGGAGGUGUAGGUUUCUGCAUCCUCCUGGAGGGGGCUCCUCAUUUUGCACUGACAGGUGAGACAGCAACAGCAAUGCUGGCAAUUUUAUUGUCUUAUUUUGUCAUUGUCUUUAACAAAUCAAUUUGUUAUUAAUGCCUGUCAGCCUGUGGAUGCUAAAAGGUUGCUAGAUUUGGCAUCUCCCUGUUAAAGGACAUGGCUGUACUUCUUUGAGAGAACAGCUGGUUUAUGUAUGUAAAAUUUCUCUGAAUGUGAAGGUGAUGUUCUGAAUGUUUUAAUGGUUGUAAUGUAAAUAUUGCAAAUCAUUCACCACAAAAAGUGAAAUCACUUUAAAGCACUGGCAGCUGUUAAAGGAAAUAAAUAAUUGCUGUGAUUCUACAUUUGUGCUUUAUUGAUGGUAAACGGUAUAGAGAAUGGUACAGAAUUAAACAUUUUAGGAUGACUGAAGUGUCCGUAAAUGGUAUGGAUUGAGUACUUAAAUAAUACGGAAUAUUCCAUUUUAGGUUUGAUGGAACUGUCCAUAAAUGGUAAAGAAAAAGUCAGGUAAAUCUACGGAAAUAUCUGUUAUAGGGUUUACGGAAUUGUCUGUGCAAUAACGCCGAAAUUUAUGGAAAAUACGGAAUUUUCCAUUUUAGGUUUGACGGAAAUGUCCGUCAAUGGUACAGAAAAACUCGGGUAAAUCUACAGAAAUAUCCGUUUUAAGGUUUACGGAAGUGCUCGUAC